AGUGAACGCUGGCGGUAGGCCUAACACAUGCAAGUCGAACGGCAGCACAGUAAGAGCUUGCUCUUACGGGUGGCGAGUGGCGGGCGGGUGAGGAAUACAUCGGAAUCUACUUUUUCGUGGGGGAUAACGUAGGGAAACUUACGCUAAUACCGCAUACGACCUACGGGUGAAAGCAGGGGAUCUUCGGACCUUGCGCGAUUGAAUGAGCCGAUGUCGGAUUAGCUAGUUGGCGGGGUAAAGGCCCACCAAGGCGACGAUCCGUAGCUGGUCUGAGAGGAUGAUCAGCCACACUGGAACUGAGACACGGUCCAGACUCCUACGGGAGGCAGCAGUGGGGAAUAUUGGACAAUGGGCGCAAGCCUGAUCCAGCCAUACCGCGUGGGUGAAGAAGGCCUUCGGGUUGUAAAGCCCUCUUGUUGGGAAAGAAAAGCAGCAGGUUAAUACCCCGCUGUUCUGACGGUACCCAAAGAAUAAGCACCGGCUAACUUCGUG
rnacentral:rRNA from 1 species